rnacentral:rRNA from 1 species
CCUACGGGUGGCAGCAGUGAGGAAUAUUGGUCAAUGGACGCAAGCCUGAACCAGCCAAGCCGCGUGAGGGAUGACGGUCCUAUGGAUUGUAAACUUCUUUUGUCGGGGAGCAAGGCCCGCCACGUGUGGCUGGAAGGAGAGUACCCGAAGAAAAAGCAUCGGCAAACUCCGUGCCAGCAGCCGCGGUAAUACGGGGGAUGCGAGCGUUACCCGGAUUUAUUGGGUUUAAAGGGUGCGUAGGGGGAAGGUUAAGUCAGCGUGAAAAUGUCGGUGCUAAAUACCGGCCUGCCGUUGAAACUGGUCUUCUUGAGUGUACGUGAGGUAGGCGGAAUGCGUGGUGUAGCGGUGAAAGGCAUAGAGAUCAUGCAGAACUCCGAUUGCGAAGGCAGCAUACCGGCGCUCAACUGACGCUGAGGCAGGAAAGCGUGGGGAGCGAACAGGAUUAGAUACCCGAGUAGUC